rnacentral:rRNA from 1 species
UACGGGGGGGGCAAGCGUUGUUCGGAAUUACUGGGCGUAAAGGGCUCGUAGGUGGCCAACUAAGUCAGACGUGAAAUCCCCAGGCUCAACUUGGGAACUGCGUCUGAUACUGGAUGGCUUGAAUUCGGGAGAGGGAUGCAGAAUUCCAGGUGUAGCGGUGAAAUGCGUAGAUAUCUGGAGGAAUACCGGUGGCGAAGGCGGCAUCCCGGACCGAGAUUGACACUGAUGAGCGAAAGCCAGGGGAGCAAACGGG